GCCCUUUGUCGCUAAGAUUC
rnacentral:snRNA from 1 species